rnacentral:rRNA from 1 species
CCUACGGGAGGCUGCAGUGGGGAAUAUUGCACAAUGGGGGAAACCCUGAUGCAGCGACGCCGCGUGAGUGAAGAAGUAUUUCGGUAUGUAAAGCCCUAUCAGCAGGGAAGAAAAUGACGGUACCUGACUAAGAAGCACCGGCUAACUACGUGCCAGCCGCCGCGGGAAUACGUAGGGGGCAAGCGUUAUCCGGAUUUACUGGGUGUAAAGGGAGCGUAGGCGGGCAGAAAAGUCAGAAGUGAAAGCCGAGGGCUCAACCCUGGGACUGCGUUUGAAACUGCGGGGCUGGAGUGCAGGAGCGGUAAGCGGAAUUCCUAGUGUAGCGGUGAAAUGCGUAGAUAUUAGGAGGAACACCAGUGGCGAAGGCAGCUUACUGGACUGUAACUGACGUUGAGGCUCGAAAGCGUGGGGAGCAAACAGGAUUAGAUACCCGAGUAGUC